UUGUUGGGUAGGGGAGCGUUCUGUAAGCCGUUGAAGGUGUGCUGUGAGGCAUGCUGGAGGUAUCAGAAGUGCGAAUGCUGACAUAAGUAACGAUAAAGCGGGUGAAAAGCCCGCUCGCCGGAAGACCAAGGGUUCCUGUCCAACGUUAAUCGGGGCAGGGUGAGUCGACCCCUAAGGCGAGGCCGAAAGGCGUAGUCGAUGGGAAACAGGUUAAUAUUCCUGUACUUGGUGUUACUGCGAAGGGGGGACGGAGAAGGCUAUGUCAGCCGGGCGACGGUUGUCCCGGUUUAAGCAUGUAGGCGGAGGUUCCAGGUAAAUCCGGUACCUUGUUAACGCUGAGGUGUGAUGACGAGGCACUACGGUGCUGAAGUGAUAAAUGCCCUGCUUCCAGGAAAAGCCUCUAAGCAUCAGGUAACACGAAAUCGUACCCCAAACCGACACAGGUGGUCAGGUAGAGAAUACCAAGGCGCUUGAGAGAACUCGGGUGAAGGAACUAGGCAAAAUGGUGCCGUAACUUCGGGAGAAGGCACGCUGAUAUGUAGGUGAAGCCCCUGCGGGCGGAGCUGAAAUCAGUCGAAGAUACCAGCUGGCUGCAACUGUUUAUUAAAAACACAGCACUGUGCAAACACGAAAGUGGACGUAUACGGUGUGACGCCUGCCCGGUGCCGGAAGGUUAAUUGAUGGGGUUAGCGGCAACGCGAAGCUCUUGAUCGAAGCCCCGGUAAACGGCGGCCGUAACUAUAACGGUCCUAAGGUAGCGAAAUUCCUUGUCGGGUAAGUUCCGACCUGCACGAAUGGCGUAAUGAUGGCCAGGCUGUCUCCACCCGAGACUCAGUGAAAUUGAACUCGCUGUGAAGAUGCAGUGUACCCGCGGCAAGACGGAAAGACCCCGUGAACCUUUACUAUAGCUUGACACUGAACACUGGUCCUUGAUGUGUAGGAUAGGUGGGAGGCUUUGAAGCGUGGACGCCAGUCUGCGUGGAGCCAACCUUGAAAUACCACCCUUUAAUGGCUGGUGUUCUAACGUAGACCCGUAAUCCGGGUUGCGGACAGUGUCUGGUGGGUAGUUUGACUGGGGCGGUCUCCUCCCAAAGAGUAACGGAGGAGCACGAAGGUUGGCUAAUCCUGGUCGGACAUCAGGAGGUUAGUGCAAUGGCAUAAGCCAGCUUGACUGCGAGCGUGACGGCGCGAGCAGGUGCGAAAGCAGGUCAUAGUGAUCCGGUGGUUCUGAAUGGAAGGGCCAUCGCUCAACGGAUAAAAGGUACUCCGGGGAUAACAGGCUGAUACCGCCCAAGAGUUCAUAUCGACGGCGGUGUUUGGCACCUCGAUGUCGGCUCAUCACAUCCUGGGGCUGAAGUAGGUCCCAAGGGUAUGGCUGUUCGCCAUUUAAAGUGGUACGCGAGCUGGGUUUAGAACGUCGUGAGACAGUUCGGUCCCUAUCUGCCGUGGGCGCUGGAGAAUUGAGGGGGGCUGCUCCUAGUACGAGAGGACCGGAGUGGACGCAUCACUGGUGUUCGGGUUGUCAUGCCAAUGGCACUGCCCGGUAGCUAAAUGCGGAAGAGAUAAGUGCUGAAAGCAUCUAAGCACGAAACUUGCCCCGAGAUGAGUUCU
rnacentral:rRNA from 1 species